rnacentral:rRNA from 1 species
GAUGAACGCUAGCUACAGGCUUAACACAUGCAAGUCGAGGGGUAACAAGAGGAAAGCUUGCUUUUCUUGUUGACGACCGGCGCACGGGUGAGUAACGCGUAUCCAACCUGCCUAUAACUAGGGAAUAACCUUGCGAAAGUAAGACUAAUACCCUAUGAUUUCCUUUGAUGACAUCAGAUUAGGAAUAAAGAUUUAUCGGUUAUAGAUGGGGAUGCGUCUGAUUAGCUUGUUGGCGGGGUAACGGCCCACCAAGGCAACGAUCAGUAGGGGUUCUGAGAGGAAGGUCCCCCACAUUGGAACUGAGACACGGUCCAAACUCCUACGGGAGGCAGCAGUGAGGAAUAUUGGUCAAUGGGCGGAAGCCUGAACCAGCCAAGUAGCGUGCAGGAUGACGGCCCUAUGGGUUGUAAACUGCUUUUAUACAGGAAUAAAGUUAGCCACGUGUGGUUAUUUGUAGGUACUGUAUGAAUAAGGACCGGCUAAUUCCGUG